UCCGGAGGGGGCAAUCGUUAUCCGGAUUUACUGGGUUUAAAGGGUGCGUAGGCGGGCAUGUAAGUCAGUGGUGAAAUACCGGAGCUUAACUUCGGAACUGCCAUUGAUACUAUAUGUCUUGAAUAUUGUGGAGGUAAGCGGAAUAUGUCAUGUAGCGGUGAAAUGCAUAGAUAUGACAUAGAACACCGAUUGCGGAGGCAGCUUGCUACGCAAAUAUUGACGCUGAGGCACGAAAGCGUGGGGAGCAAACAGG
rnacentral:rRNA from 1 species